rnacentral:tRNA from 1 species
GCCUAGUUAGCUUAGUUGGUAGUGCGUCUGCCUUGUAAGCGCUAGGCCGCGGGUUCGAUUUCCGCCCGAGGCG